GGGGGGAGCAGCUGACUGUGCACAUUCUGGGCCCUCCAUGCAGAGCUAGAGCCAGGCAGAGCCAGAUUUGGAAAGCUCCCCUCUCCAAAACAGCUGGGAAAAAAUCGCCCUACAUGGGCAGGAGAGGAGGAGGAGCCAAAUCCUGGAGAAGGAGUCCUGGAGUCCUGGAGAAGUGCCUUAACUCUGGGAAUACUUUAAUGCUCUGUAAGGGAGGCAGAUGCAGACAGAAUUAAAAGACAUUGGAUUUCAUACACUCUCAAAGCCCAAUGCAACUCACCUAGAAUUUUUACAGUAAUGGGUAAUUAACCCAGAGGGUUCUGGCAUCAGGCAACUUGCUGUGUUUAAUGAAAUUCUAAUCACAUUCACACCGAUUGGCUCUAUAGAACAGCACUGACAUAGUCCUCCUCAGAGCCCUCGGGCCAAGUUGCCUAGAUUUCAGGUGAUUAGAGAGAAACUGGUCCUUCGUGGCACUAAUGCCCGCUACCCUCAACAAAGUUGACUCUGCUCCCAAUGUUUGGGGACGAUUGUUGUAACAUAAUUUUGUAUUACUGUUAUUUUGUCCUCUUGUCCCUACUUUUUUGUGAGAAUGUACUGCCAUCUACUGGUACAAUAAGGUCAGUGAAUAGAGAGAGAGAGUCCCAUUUCCCCUCCCGUCAAUUCAAUUAAUGAAUUCUAAAGUGGCCCUUAUUUUCGAUGUAAAAAAAAUAUAUCUAUAUUCUUUAGGAGGUCUGUUAAAAGAUUGACGUAGUUGGCAAUGAAGACACUCAACAAGGACAGGGAGUGACGCUGUACGGAGAUUGAGA